AUUGAACGCUGGCGGCAGGCUUAACUCAUGCAAGUCGAGCGGGGUGAUGGUGCUUGCACUAUCACUUAGCGGCGGACGGGUGAGUAAUGCUUAGGAAUCUGCCUAUUAGUGGGGGACAACAUCUCGAAAGGGAUGCUAAUACCGCAUACGUCCUACGGGAGAAAGCAGGGGAUCACUUGUGACCUUGCGCUAAUAGAUGAGCCUAAGUCGGAUUAGCUAGUUGGUGGGGUAAAGGCCUACCAAGGCGACGAUCUGUAGCGGGUCUGAGAGGAUGAUCCGCCACACUGGGACUGAGACACGGCCCAGACUCCUACGGGAGGCAGCAGUGGGGAAUAUUGGACAAUGGGGGGAACCCUGAUCCAGCCAUGCCGUGUGUGAAGAAGGCCUUAUGGUUGUAAAGCACUUUAAGCGAGGAGGAGGCUCUUUUGGUUAAUACCCAAGAUGAGUGGACGUUACUCGCAGAAUAAGCACCGGCUAACUCUGUGCCAGCCGCCGCAGUAA
rnacentral:rRNA from 1 species